rnacentral:pre_miRNA from 1 species
AAUCCUGCAUGUGGAGGCCUUGGACUGCUAUAGCAGCACAUCAUGGUUUGCAUGGUAUAGCCAAGAUGCGAAUCAUUAUUUGCUGCUUUAGAAAUUUAAGGAAAAGAAACCUUUCAAGACAUGGCUUAUU